rnacentral:rRNA from 1 species
UACGAAGGGGGCUAGCGUUGCUCGGAAUCACUGGGCGUAAAGGGCGCGUAGGCGGCCGAUCAAGUCAGGGGUGAAAGCCUGUGGCUCAACCACAGAAUUGCCUUUGAUACUGUUCGGCUCGAGACCGGAAGAGGUAAGUGGAACUGCGAGUGUAGAGGUGAAAUUCGUAGAUAUUCGCAAGAACACCAGUGGCGAAGGCGGCUUACUGGUCCGGUUCUGACGCUGAGGCGCGAAAGCGUGGGAGCAAAGCAGG